rnacentral:rRNA from 1 species
AUUGAACGCUGGCGGCAGGCCUAACACAUGCAAGUCGAGCGGAUGAGGAGAGCUUGCUCUCUGAUUCAGCGGCGGACGGGUGAGUAAUGCCUAGGAAUCUGCCUGGUAGUGGGGGACAACGUUUCGAAAGGAACGCUAAUACCGCAUACGUCCUACGGGAGAAAGUGGGGGAUCUUCGGACCUCACGCUAUCAGAUGAGCCUAGGUACGAUUAGCUAGUUGGUGAGGUAAAGGCUCACCAAGGCGACGAUCGUUAACUGGUCUGAGAGGAUGAUCAUGCACACUGGAACUGAGACACGGUCCAGACUCCUACGGGAGGCAGCAGUGGGGAAUAUUGGACAAUGGGCGAAAGCCUGAUCCAGCCAUGCCGCGUGUGUGAAGAAGGUCUUCGGAUUGUAAAGCACUUUAAGUUGGGAGGAAGGGCAGUAAGUUAAUACCUUGCUGUUUUGACGUUACCGACAGAAUAAGCACCGGCUAACUUCGUGCCAGCCGCCGCCGUAA